UAUUCCACUGCUGAUCAGGGAGAUAGGGCUGGGGUCAUCGAUCUGUUUUGCUGUCGGUGCAGGAAGGCAAGAUCUGCUAUUUUUAACCUGCUCCGCUGUAACCUAGGGAGGCAAGGAUGGUGUCUUCGAUCUGCUUCGCUGUCAGUGCAGGAAAGCAAGAUCUGUUAUUUUUAACCUGCUUCGCUGCAACCCAAGGAGGCAAGGCUAGUGUCUUCGAUCUGCUUCUCUCUCGGUGCAGGAAGGCAAAAUCUGCUAUCUUCAACCUACUCCACUACAACCCAGGGAGGCAAGGCUGAUAUCUUUGAUCUACUUCACUGUCGGUACAGGAAGGCAAGAUCUGCUAUCUUUAACCUGCUCCACUACAACCCAGGGAGGCAAGGCUGGUAUCUUCGAUCUGCUUUGCUAUCGAUGCAGGAAGGCAAGAUCUCCUAUCUUCAACCUGCUCUACUACGACCCAGUGAGGCAAGGUUGGUAUCUUCGGUUUGCUUCGCUGUCGAUGCAGUAAGGCAAAAAUCUGUUGUCUUCAACCUGCUCCACUACAAUCCAGGGAGGCAAGGCUGGUAUCUUCGAUCUGCUUCUCUGUUGAUGUAGAAAUGCAAGAUCUGCUAUCUUCAACCUGCUCCACUACGACCCAUGGAGGCAAGGUUGGUAUCUUCGGUUUGGUUUGCUGUCGAUGCAGUAAGGCAAAAUCUACUGUCUUCAACUUGCUCCACUACAACCCAAGGAGGCAAGGCUGGUAUCUUCGAUCUGCUUCGCUGUCGAUGCAGGAAGGCAAGAUCUGCUAUCUUCAACCUGCUCCACUACGACCCAAGGAGACAAGGCUGGUAUCUUCGAUCUGCUUCGCUGUCGAUGCAGGAAGGCAAGAUCUGCUAUCUUCAAC
rnacentral:lncRNA from 1 species